AGACCGCCAUGGUGACUUGCAAGCAACUCACUGCACUUAGACACUGGACUACCUGAAUUUCUAAUUCAGUGAUGGAAGGCUGCUGAGUGUAGUCAAGUACUUGACUUGUUGGUGCGUGUGUCAAAAUAGGAUUGACCACUCUAGUUCAAGAGCUGUGUACAGUCGUGUUUCAAUUUAGCAAAACCUUAGCCAGGGUAGUCCUAGUGAGGAGUCAUAGGACUGUUUGAGUUGAGCAUGAUUCGGAUGAUCUGAUCAGGGUUGACAGUUUAACUCUGAGUCAUCCUAUACACAAGGGUUAAAAGGGAUGAGUUAUACAGUAACCACAUUCACGUAGAUUCUGAAUGUUGCAAUUACAACUAUUCGACCUAUCCGGACAUCAGGUACCAUUGCUAGAUGGUCACUUCGAUUAGUACAGGAAUUGGUUCCUGUGCUACCGGCUUAGGUUCA
rnacentral:lncRNA from 1 species